GCGGCGUAAGCUGUCGCUAUGGGAUGGCCCCGCGGUGCAUUAGCUAGUUGGUAAGGUAAAGGCUUACCAAGGCGAUGAUGCAUAGCCGAGUUGAGAGACUGAUCGGCCACAUUGGGACUGAGACACGGCCCAAACUCCUACGGGAGGCAGCAGUAGGGAAUCUUCCACAAUGGACGCAAGUCUGAUGGAGCAACGCCGCGUGAGUGAAGAAGGUUUUCGGAUCGUAAAGCUCUGUUGUUGGUGAAGAAGGAUAGAGGUAGUAACUGGCCUUUAUUUGACGGUAAUCAACCAGAAAGUCACGGCUAACUACGUGCCAGCAGCCGCGGUAAUACGUAGGUGGCAAGCGUUGUCCGGAUUUAUUGGGCGUAAAGCGAGCGCAGGCGGAAGAAUAAGUCUGAUGUGAAAGCCCUCGGCUUAACCGAGGAACUGCAUCGGAAACUGUUUUUCUUGAGUGCAGAAGAGGAGAGUGGAACUCCAUGUGUAGCGGUGGAAUGCGUAGAUAUAUGGAAGAACACCGGUGGCGAAGGCGGCUCUCUGGUCUGCAACUGACGCUGAGGCUCGAAAGCAUGGGUAGCGAACAGGAUUAGAUACCCUGGUAGUCCAUGCCGUAAACGAUGAGUGCUAAGUGUUGGGAGGUUUCCGCCUCUCAGUGCUGCAGCUAACG
rnacentral:rRNA from 1 species